rnacentral:rRNA from 1 species
ACGGGAGGCAGCAGUGGGGAAUAUUGGGCAAUGGGCGAAAGCCUGGCCCAGCAAUGCCGCGUGAAGGUAGAAGGUCUUCGGAUUGUAAACUUCUUUUAUGAGGGACGAAGGAUUUGACGGUACCUCAUGAAUAAGCCACGGCUAACUACGUGCCAGCAGCCGCGGUAAUACGUAGGUGGCAAGCGUUAUCCGGAUUUACUGGGUGUAAAGGGCGCGUAGGCGGGGAAGCAAGUCAGAUGUGAAAUCCAUGGGCUCAACCCAUGAACUGCAUUUGAAACUGUUUCUCUUGAGUGCUGGAGAGGUAGAUGGAAUUCCUAGUGUAGCGGUGAAAUGCGUAGAUAUUAGGAAGAACACCAGUGGCGAAGGCGAUCUACUGGACAGUAACUGACGCUGAGGCGCGAAAGCGUGGGGAGCAAACAGGAUUAGAUACCCUGGUA